AUACGGGUGGCAGAAGUGGGGAAUAGUGCACAAUGGGGGAAACCCUGAUGCAGCGACGCCGCGUGAGUGAAGAAGUAUUUCGGUACGUAAAGCUCUAUAAGCAGGGAAGAAAAUGACGGGACCUGACUAAGAAGCCCCGGCUAACUACGUGCCAGCAGCCGCGGGAAUACGUAGGGGGCAAGCGUUAUCCGGAUUUACUGGGUGUAAAGGGAGCGUAGACGGCAGGUCAAGUCUGGAGUGAAAUCCCAUCGCUUAACCAUGGAACUGCUUUGGAAACUGUGCAGCUGGAGUGCAGGAGAGGUAAGCGGAAUUCCUAGUGUAGCGGUGACAUGCGUAGAUAUUAGGAGGAACACCAGUGGCGACGGCGGCUUACUGGACUGUACCUGACGUUGAGGCUCGAAAGCGUGGGGAGCAAACAGGAUUAGAUACCCGAGUAGUC
rnacentral:rRNA from 1 species